AAUAAUUUUUUUUCAUUUCUUCCUCCGCAAAAAGUAUCUUCGUCUUUCGAUUAUAUUCGAAUCCGACACAAAAGCUAUAUCCCUCUCUGAUGAAUCGAUCCGUAACAUGGAGAGAGAUACUCUCAAAAGUAUGAAUUCACUUCAGAUGGACUAUGGGAUUUUCGCAUGUUCUUCAGAACGACGUCGUCUCGUUCGUGUUGUCGCAGACGAUGAGAAAUGUCGUUGUUGCUCUCCGCCAUUACCGUCGGGUGUCGCUUCUCCGGUUGCUUCUUACUGUUAAGCAAUGUCAUGGUGAACUUUGAUAGUUUGUGAGCAUAUCAUCCUCAUGACCAUCAUAAUUAGGGAAAUGUUGUGAUUUUGAAGAAGAUAUGUUGACCAUGAAACCAGAGCAAUUUGACAUCAUGGAGAUGCUUUCGUUUUUGGUAAUGGUUAUGAAGAAUAAGACUCUACUAGUACAGUUGCUUCAGCCGGAAAAAAACAGUUGGCGAAAAGCAGGGGAAGGAGCAACAAUUUUAGAAGAAGUGACAUGAAGGAGACUUGUUUAUGGCUAAUUUCUAGGUUUGUUAUUAAAAUGGUUUCUAGCUUUGAUGAAGCAUGUGUUCACCAAGGUAAAUGAGCUGAGCCCAGGAACCAACGGUGAUGCAGAGAAGAGGAGGAGGUCGUCCCAGCGGUCCUCAAGUUCGUGAGAUGCAUAUUGCAGAAUGUUUAGUUGGUGAUGAGAUUUGAAUCAUAAUAUUGCAGAAACGAUCAAAAUAAGAGAAUACAUGUUUUACUGAUGGUUUUUUAGAGGCUGUUUCUGUUCUCAAUUAUCAUAUUUCGAAAAUGCUUUAUUUCUCA